rnacentral:rRNA from 1 species
AACGAACGCUGGCGGCAUGCCUAACACAUGCAAGUCGAACGAGACCUUCGGGUCUAGUGGCGCACGGGUGCGUAACGCGUGGGAACCUGCCCUUAGGUUCGGAAUAACUCCCCGAAAGGGGUGCUAAUACCGGAUAAUGUCUUCGGACCAAAGAUUUAUCGCCUUUGGAUGGGCCCGCGUUGGAUUAGCUAGUUGGUAGGGUAAAAGCCUACCAAGGCGACGAUCCAUAGCUGGUCUGAGAGGAUGAUCAGCCACACUGGGACUGAGACACGGCCCAGACUCCUACGGGAGGCAGCAGUGGGGAAUAUUGGACAAUGGGCGAAAGCAUGAUACAGCAAUGCCGCGUGAGUGAUGAAGGCCUUAGGGUUGUAAAGCUCUUUUAACCGGGAUGAUAAUGACAGUACCGGGAGAAUAAGCGCCGGCUAACUCCGUG